GACGAACGCUGGCGGCGUGCUUAACACAUGCAAGUCGAACGGUGAAGCCGGAGCUUGCUCUGGUGAAUUAGUGGCGGACGGGUGAGUAACACGUGAGUAACCUGCCCUUGACUCUGGGAUAACUGCUAGAAAUGGUAGCUAAUACCGGAUACGACCCUCGGAGGCAUCUCCAGGGGGUGGAAAGAAUUUCGGUCAAGGAUGGACUCGCGGCCUAUCAGCUAGUUGGUGAGGUAACGGCUCACCAAGGCGACGACGGGUAGCCGGCCUGAGAGGGUGACCGGCCACACUGGGACUGAGACACGGCCCAGACUCCUACGGGAGGCAGCGGUGGGGAAUAUUGCACAAUGGGCGCAAGCCUGAUGCAGCAACGCCGCGUGAGGGAUGACGGCCUUCGGGUUGUAAACCUCUUUUAGUAGGGAAGAAGCGAAAGUGACGGUACCUGCAGAAAAAGCACCGGCUAACUACGUGCCAGCAGCCGCCGUAA
rnacentral:rRNA from 1 species